GCCACGGUAGCCGAAUUGGUACAGGCGGCGGAUUCAAAAUCCGUUUGGGGAGACUCAGUUGUCGGUUCGAGUCCGACCCGUGGUACAA
rnacentral:tRNA from 1 species